rnacentral:rRNA from 1 species
AUUGAACGCUGGCGGCAGGCCUAACACAUGCAAGUCGAGCGAGCGGCGGACGGGUGAGUAAUGUAUGGGGACUGCCCGAUAGAGGGGGAUAACUCCUGGAACCGGUAGCUAAUACCGCAUACUAUCGGAUAACCCAUAUGGGAUUAGCUAGUAGGUGAGGUACUGGCUCACCUAGGCGACGAUCCCUAGCUGGGCUGAGAGGAUGACCAGCCAAACGGGGACUGAGACACGGCCAAGACUCCUACGGAGGCAGCAGUGGGGAAGAUGGCACAAUGGGCGAAAGCCUGAUGCAGCCAUGCCGCGUGUAUGAAGAAGGCCCUAGGGUUGUAAAGUACUUUUGGCGAAGAAGCGGUAUGUGCAGAAUAAGCACCGGCUAACUACGUGCUAGCAGCCGCGGUAAUAC